UUUAUUCCCCCCACUGAAGAAAGAUUUCAUUGGAAUGAUACAGAGAAGAUUAGCAUGGCCCCUGCGCAAGGAUGACACCCAAAUUCAUGAUGUGUUCCAUAAUUUU